GAUGAACGCUGGCGGCGUGCCUAAUACAUGCAAGUAGAACGCUGAAGGAGGAGCUUGCUCUUCUGGAUGAGUUGCGAACGGGUGAGUAACGCGUAGGUAACCUGCCUGGUAGCGGGGGAUAACUAUUGGAAACGAUAGCUAAUACCGCAUGACAACAGUUAUUGCAUGAUAACUGUUUAAAAGGGGCAACUGCUCCACUACCAGAUGGACCUGCGUUGUAUUAGCUAGUUGGUGAGGUAACGGCUCACCAAGGCGACGAUACAUAGCCGACCUGGGAGGGUGAUCGGCCACACGGGGACUGAGACACGGCCCAGACUCCUACGGGAGGCAGCAGUAGGGAAGCUUCGGCAAUGGACGGAAGUCUGACCGAGCAACGCCGCGGGAGUGAAGAAGGUUUUCGGAUCGUAAAGCUCUGUUGUAAGAGAAGAACGAGUGUGAGAGUGGAAAGUUCACACUGUGACGGUAUCUUACCAGAAAGGGACCGCUAACUACGUG
rnacentral:rRNA from 1 species